AACGCUUGUAGCAAUACAGGAGUGGCGAAAGGGUGAGGAACACGUGAGUAACCUACCCCCAAGUUGGGAAUAACACCGGGAAACUGGUGCUAAUACCGAAUGUGGCUGAUGAACCGCAUGGUUUAUCAGCUAAAGAUUUAUCGCUUGGGGAGGGGCUCGCGUCCCAUUAGCUAGUUGGUGAGGUAACGGCUCACCAAGGCAACGAUGGGUAGCUGGUCUGAGAGGAUGGCCAGCCACACUGGGACUGAGACACUGCCCAGACUCCUACGGGAGGCUGCAGUCGAGAAUCUUGGGCAAUGCGCGAAAGCGUGACCCANCAAUGCCGCGUGCAGGAUGAAGGCCUUCGGGUUGUAAACUGCUGUCACCCGGGACGAAGAAUUGACGGUACCGGGAGAGGAAGCCACGGCUAACUACGUGCCAGCAGCCGCGGUAAUACGUAGGUGGCGAGCGUUGUUCGGAUUUAUUGGGCGUAAAGGGUCUGUAGGGGGUUUGCUAAGUCUGAUGUGAAAUCCCGUGGCUCAACCACGGAACUGCAUUGGAGACUGGCGGACUAAANUUCUGGAGAGGUAAGCCGGAAUUCCAAGUGUACCGGUGGAAUGCCUANAUAUCUGGAAAAACACCCAUAGCNAAAGCAGCUUACUGGACAACGACUGACCCUUAAAAACNAAAACCUGGGGAGCAAACAGGAUUANAUACCCUGGUAGUCCA
rnacentral:rRNA from 1 species